UUCAUUGAGGUUUACCAAGUAUAAUCCUUUGUUUUAAGUGUGCAUAAUAUAUAAUAAAUGUUUUUAUUAAAAAAAAAUUUUUUAGGGGAACUUUGCACUAUUAAUCAAAAUAAAAAGUAUUUAUAUAUAUACAUAUUUUUUCCACUAUUUGAAAGAUAAUAUAUAUCUAAUUUCUACUAUCUUAUCAUUAAAAAAAUAUUAUUUUUUACAAUUUUAAUCUGUUUGUACACUUAUUAGUGUAUAAUGAGAACUGUCAUUCAGUAUUAUCGUUCGAUAAUAUUGAUAAACAUUAAUUUUAUCAGUUAUAGUAUAAAUAAUAGUAUAAAUAGUAUAAAUAAUAGUAUAACGAUAUAAAUAAAUAUAGUAAAAUCAUUUAUUGAAACGAUUAAAAUUGUUGACCUAUAUGAAAUAUCUCGUGUAUGAUGUAAUAGAAAUAAGAUAAGAUAAAGUAUAUGAAAUACGUUAUACACAUUUUUUACUUUUAUGUUUACUUAUUCUAUUACGUUAUACUCAAGUAUUUCAAAUAUAUUCGGACAAAAUAUUUAUAAACAUAAAAAACAACACAAUAUGCCUAAUAAUAAAAAUAUAAUAUAAAUAGUUACAUAUAAAAUCUUUUUAAAAUAUUUAAUAAUUCUUUAUUAAAUCUCGAGUGGUUGCACCUUUUUUUUUUAUUCGCUAAAAUAUUUUGAAUUGCCGCUGUUCAAUCUACUAUAUCGACAUUUCAAAAACCGCGACUCACUUCGUGACAGAUUUCAGAUCGGUCAACGAACGCGUUGUGUUCUUUCGUUUCGCGUUUCUUCUUCACGAUUGUUGUUGUCUAAAGAUUUCACGCGUGAAAGAUAAUCGGAAUGCUAUAUGAAAUGAUCUUCGUUACGGGAUCGCUAUUACGAGCUGAUGUCGAAAUUUCGGUAUCGACGAUUCGUCUCUGCACAUCCGACGACAAUCGAAAUCGUCUUCGCGUAUUCUAAGAGCUAUACUCUUUCAUUAGAGGUUAAGUAGGACAAAUGCAUGAUUAUUAACGAGUUCGUAUCUCACAUUAAUAUCCUUAAAAACUACAGGCGUGUAUUAUUUAUUUCUCAAUAACAUUCUUUAGCAGAUUACAGUCCAAUACAUAAUUUUGAAUUUAUUUUUGCGUGGGCAUGUAUGCGUAUCCGUGUACGUGUGAUCGGACAUCGAGUGUCGUGAAGUGCCGCGAAACAGCGGGGUCCAGUCACUUGCUUGAAGUUGCAGCUUCGUUGAUGUGACAAUGCUAUUUUCAAAGAAUCGCCAUGUUGCAUGUCGAAUCACGAUUAACAAGUGCCGGACCGUGCCGGGUUCGAAUCCUCUCCGCGUCUUUCGCGGAGUUUAUCACGGGUAAAAAAUUCCCGGGCGAGGAGUGCCGAUCUCGCGAGUAGUCCUCGUCUAUUAAUUACGUGUGCCGUCCACCGGUGCCGCGAUCUCGACGUCGUCGAUGUUCUUCGAAGUCCUUAAUUCAGCUGAAGGUGCAGAAUCGAAGUCCUUAAUUGAGCUGAAGGCGCAGGAUCGCCGCCCAAUCUCAUGGUUACCGAAGAGGAUCGGAUGGAGCUUGGGGAUUCCAAGGAUAGGGAUGGAGCUUGGGGAGCGACGCCGUCGUUCGGUGAGUUUAUCAUAAAUUUUUUGUAUGCAUUGCAUGGAGAUGUUUUAUCUCGAUUUGUCGGAUGUGCAAUACGUUCAUCUCGUUGUGUGUUUUGAAAAUAAACCGCAGCGCUCGGGUAAACUACGCCGCGGUACAGCGGCUCCAGUUAGCACAGUGCAUAUCUACUUUUAAUUAUGUACGAAAAAAUCAGUUGCGAGAAAAUAUUGUUGCAUGCAGUGUUGAUUUACGACGAGCACCAUGCAAUUAUGUUGGUAAGCAGAACAAGAUCUCGAUAAAUCGUAUCAAAAUUAUAUUAAAAUCAUGAUUGAUAGAAAAAAGACUUUUAACAAUUUUGGUGCUAUUUUGACGCAAUUUUAAUGUCAUCGUCAUGGAUGACUUUUUCUCUGUUUGGAAAUGAACAUGUUAAAACACAACGAUCAAUAAAUUCACGAAGACGGGGAAUGUAACAAUGGUUUAUAUACAUGUUUAUAUUAUUUGGAGAAUAAAACUGGGAGUUAUAUUUAUUAUAUUUUAUCGACAUUAAAAGUUUAUUGUAUCGUUACAUCAAAAAAAAUUACGAAAUGCAUAUCGAGGUAAAUAAUUAUUUUGUUUACAAACCUUCCGCGUUGUUCUCUCUUUCAAUCUUUUCUAAAUAAUUUCUAAAAACGAGUAGGAUGUAUGCACGCAAUUAUUUUUAUUUUUUAUUUAUUUAUUUAGAUAAACUAACUACAGAUAGAAGCUAUUCGUGUCACAAAAAUGAUUAGGAAUAUUGAUUUUAUUGGUAUUAGUUUUCCACUAUUUGAAAGCAUUAAAUUCAAGGAAAACAUUUCCAUAAAUCUUAAUUGCGUAUAAUAUAUGCAUCAAUAUUUAAAAAACAAAUUGUUGUAUUUUUGAUUAUGUUUGCAGUAAUAAAAAUGAAAUUAAAAUUAGAAAAGGUAAGUAAAAUUAAUAUGUUUGUUUAGAGAAUAUUUGUUCAGAAGGUGAGUUAUACACAGGUAAUAACAUGGAAUAAUAACUUAAUAAACCAUCGCAAUACAGUAAAGUAAAUAAUAAAUCAGACCGUAUUUACUUAACAUCGCACAUUCAAUUUAUUAGAAUUAGAAGAGUAAUGCAUUCAGUCAGCAGGGAAAAUACAAGUCCUAUGGUAAUUAUAAUAUUAUAGAAGUUUGGCACUCGAAUCAGUUCACUUUUGGUGGAUGUAAAAAAGCCUAACAGUUCGCCUCUAAUAUGUUCAUGAAUCAACGAACGGGUUCUCUCUCUUUCUCUCUCUCUCUCUCUCUCUCUCUCUCUCUCUCUCUCUCUCUCUCUCUCUCUCUCUCUCUCUUUCUCUGACUCUCUGGAUAAAAUGUCUUUAAUUAGAAUCUAUCAAUGCGUAUGCAAUGAAUUCAUGGAACAGUACAUUCUACAUAGAAGUGUUGUACGCAUUAUAAUAUAUGCAAUAUAUUAUGAUUGCUAUAAUCAACAUUCACAUUAAACUGUUUUAUUAGAUACACUUCUAAGAUUUUAGGAAAAUUAAUUAAUCCACUUUUGGCCAGACAUUUAUUUGAAUUUCUGCGAAAAUGUACGAGAUUUUCAUUUUUAUUAAUACAUUGUAGUUUUAUAUCUUAGGUAAUUUGAACUGUUGUCUAAAAAAAUUGUUUU
rnacentral:lncRNA from 1 species